AUUGAACGCUAGCGGGAUGCCUUACACAUGCAAGUCGAACGGAGUGGCAGACGGGUGCGUAAUGUAUCGGAACCUGCCCAGUCGCGGGGGCUAACUACGAGAAAGCGUAGCUAAUACCGCUUACUAUCAGUGCGGGCGAGAUCGGAUUAGGGAGUGUGUGGGGUAACGGAACACCAAGGCGACGAUCCGUAGCUGGUUUGAGAGGACGACCAGCCACACUGGGACUGAGACACGGCCCAGACUCCUACGGGAGGCAGCAGUGGGGAAUUGUUGACAAGGGGGGAAACCCUGAUCCAGCCAUCCCGCGUGUGCGAUGAAGGCCUUCGGGUUGUAAAGCACGUUUGGCAGGAAAGCGGUACCUGCAGAAUAAGCACCGGCUAACUACGUGCCAGCAGCCGCGGUAAUUC
rnacentral:rRNA from 1 species